rnacentral:rRNA from 1 species
GACGAACGCUGGCGGCGUGCCUAAUACAUGCAAGUAGAACGCUGAAGAGAGGAGCUUGCUCUUCUUGGAUGAGUUGCGAACGGGUGAGUAACGCGUAGGUAACCUGCCUUGUAGCGGGGGAUAACUAUUGGAAACGAUAGCUAAUACCGCAUAACAAUGGCUGACACAUGUCAUUUAUUUGAAAGGGGCAAUUGCUCCACUACAAGAUGGACCUGCGUUGUAUUAGCUAGUAGGUGAGGUAAUGGCUCACCUAGGCGACGAUACAUAGCCGACCUGAGAGGGUGAUCGGCCACACUGGGACUGAGACACGGCCCAGACUCCUACGGGAGGCAGCAGUAGGGAAUCUUCGGCAAUGGGGGCAACCCUGACCGAGCAACGCCGCGUGAGUGAAGAAGGUUUUCGGAUCGUAAAGCUCGGUUGUAAGUCAAGAACGGGUGUGAGAGUGGAAAGUUCACACUGUGACGGUAGCUUACCAGAAAGGGACGGCUAACUACGUG